rnacentral:rRNA from 1 species
AAGUCGUAACAAGGUCUCCGUAGGUGAACCUGCGGAGGGAUCAUUACUGAGUUUUUAACUCUCCAAACCAUGUGAACUUACCACUGUUGCCUCGGUGGUCGGUGCUGGAAACAGUGCUGCCACCGGUGGACUACUAAACUCUUGUUAAUUUUUGUCAAAUCUGAAUCAAAACUAAGAAAUAAGUUAAAACUUUCAACAACGGAUCUCUUGGUUCUGGCAUCGAUGAAGAACGCAGCGAAAUGCGAUAAGUAAUGUGAAUUGCAGAAUUCAGUGAAUCAUCGAAUCUUUGAACGCACAUUGCGCCCAUUAGUAUUCUAGUGGGCAUGCCUGUUCGAGCGUCAUUUCAACCCUUAAGCCUAGCUUAGUGUUGGGAGACUGCCUAAUACGCAGCUCCUCAAAACCAGUGGCGGAGUCUGUUCGUGCUCUGAGCGUAGUAAUUUUUUAUCUCGCUUCUGCAAGCCGGCCAGACGACAGCCAUAAACCGCACCCUCUCGGGGGGGCACUUUUUUAAUGGUUGACCUCGGAUCAGGUAGGAAUACCCGCUGAACUUA